AAUUAAAGGGGAGUCCCUAUACUUAUUUGAUUAUGAUUGAUAUUAGUUCCUUAAAUACAGAUUGAUACCUUAUUUGUUCACUCGUUUUUAAUACUAUAAAUACUCCCCACUUUUCUCUUUGAACACACCAACACACGCUGCUCUCACAACCUCAGACUCUCUGAAUUCUCUCUUCCUCUACUAUCUCAUUCUCUUGUUUGAACACUCAAUUGGCUCAUAGCCAAGAUUUGGUAGCUUGGGUUGAUUACUUUACACUACUGGGUUCUGUUUGUUUGUCUACAUUUGGUAUGUUGCUGCUGUUGUUCUCAUAUUGUUGUUGAUUUUCUCAAAUUGUUGUCGCUAUUCUCAUACUGUUGUUACUCGCACUGCUCAUUCUUUGCACACUUUGCCCUUCCUUUGUGCAUCAUUGCAUUGCUAUUGUAUCAUAUUACCUGCAACUGAUAUGUCACCUAUUUAAUAUACAGUUGCCACAACAACAUCCUCCUAUUAGUUUUGAAAUUCAUAUUAUUUCUUGUGUGCUUUUACCUAUGGUUCAGUUGCUCUUAUUGCCACUAGCAUGCAGUUUUUAAUCUACUAGUUUAACUUAGCAUGUUCUCCCUUAUCCCCCUUCCCCUUGUCUCAAUGCAUGUUUCUCCUUCCAUGUGCACUACUGCUUGGCUACUUAACAACCCUGAAACCUCUCCCUU
rnacentral:lncRNA from 1 species